AGCCCCGUGGUGUAGUGGCCAAGCAUACGGGCCUUUGGAGCCUGUGACACCGGUUCGAAUCCGGUCGGGGCUA
rnacentral:tRNA from 2 species